UACGGGAGGCAGCAGGGGGAAUAUUGCACAAUGGGCGAAAGCCUGAUGCAGCUAUGCCGCGUGUAUGAAGAAGGCCUUAGGGUUGUAAAGUACUUUCAUCGGGGAGGAAAAAACAAAACUAAUAAUUUUAUUUCUUGACGUUACCCGAAAAAGAAGCACCGGCUAACUCCGUGCCAGCAGCCGCGGUAAUACGGAGGGUGCUAGCGUUAAUCAGAAUUACUGGGCGUAAAGAGCACGUAGGUGGUUUUUUUAAGUCAGAUGUGAAAUCCCUGGGCUUAACCUAGGAACUGCAUUUUGAAACUGAAAUACUAGAGUAUCGUAGAGGGAGGUAGAAUUCUAGGUGUAGCGGUGAAAUGCGUAGAUAUCUGUAGGAAUACCUGUGGCGAAAGCGGCCUCCUAAACGAAUACUGACACUGAGGGUGCGAAAGCGUGGGGAGCAAACAGGGAUUAGAUACC
rnacentral:rRNA from 1 species